rnacentral:lncRNA from 1 species
GGUGUAGAUACACUCCUUCUAAACUGAGUUUACCUGGGCAAAUCUCCUUUCUUUGACAAAGAAGAGUUAGGCGAGGUAAGUUCUGAAUCCCCUGCCCACAUCAGGUAGAGAAAGCCUUAGUUAGCUGAGGAGCAGGUGGGCAGCCCACAUCAGGUAGAGAAAGCGUUGGUUAGCUGAGGAGCAGGUGGGCAGCAGGCAGACUUGCUAGCUUCUCUUUGUUGAUUUAGUAUGGGGCGGGCGGUGGUAUGGAAACCGUUACUGAAUUCAGUACAGCCGCCAGUCAUUUCAAGUAGUAAGUGUUUUGUUCAUUUAUGUAAGUCAGUAAGUUGCCCUUCCACCUUAUUGAUUAAAACGUCUUAGCUUUUGAAGGACUCGCAGGUAUAAUUUCUCCAAUAUAGAUUGUACUUUCAUUUUUUAAAAUCCACGGUUGAGUUCUGUGCAUGAUAAAGUGGAAGCAAGUGCUUAUCAAUUUUUUUAUUGAAAUCAUCUGAAUAAGUGUUUUCUCUUGGUUAGUUUCACACGGAGUCAUAUUCCUGAAUCUAAUUAGAGGCAGUUCAUGUACUGUGGGCUUAUUAAGAUUCAAGGCACUUUUUUAUUUUAGCCUGUCUGAUAUCCCUUUUUAAUUUCACUUAAAUUUGAAUUACUCUAACGUCUUCUGGGUAUAUUGAAGAUACUCAGUAAUAUUAAUAAUGAUGAUGUUGACGAGCCUGUCUCGUCUCAUUCUCCCAAGUCACAUAACUUUAUUUUGCUUCUAGCAUGUGAAUAUUUACGAUUUUAUGUCUUCCUGUGGCAAACAUCAGUAAUCAAUCAUGAGUUUAUUCUGAUGGGUCUAGACAGAGCCUCAUGGUCUUACUUGAUGAAGCACCGUGAGCCACCAUUCGCAUUCGGUGAGAAUUGGCAGACGUUUGCCAUCUCCGAUCCGGAUGUUGUUUGUCUUGGGUAUGUCACAUGCCUGUUGCCUGUGUGUCAUCACCUGUGAUGUUGUUUGUCUUGGGUAUGUCACAUGCCUGUUGCCUGUGUGUCAUCACCUGUGAUGUUGUUUGUCUUGGGUAUGUCACAUGCCUGUUGCCUGUGUGUCAUCACUUUACAUUUUUAUCUUUCUGCCUUUGGCUAAAGAGCGUCUGCCUUUGAAGACCCCUCUAUUAUUCCCACAGAUGUUUCUGAGCCUCUGAAGCUGCAGGAGCCAUGAACCUCAGAACAAACUUCAGGCUUGUCUGUUGGCCAGUCUUUCCUGCCUGUGUAGAAUUUCUUAAAAAGGAAAUUAAAUUGAGGACUUUGCUCAUUCAUUUUGAUGAAUUCUUAAAACACUCUUUUUUGAGUGUGCAUGAAUUUGUGUUUCCUGGUUGCCUGGAUAGAACGGAACAUCUCUCAUCCCUCUGGGUGGUAUGUCAUCACCAGGCUCCAUUUCUGUUGUGGCCGUGUUCUCUUCACUGACCGACUGGGCUUUCGAUGCUGGUAGGAGCUGUUCUGGACAAAACACCCAAAACAGUAACUCAAAGGCCCUAGAAAAUAGAAGGGAGGGAGGGAAGAGAGUUGAUUUAGAAAACCCAGGCAUGUUCUGAACUUCUGGCUUUUACUUUGGGAUUUGAUUUUAGUGACAGAGCGCUUUAGUAGAGGAGUUAAAAACCAACUGUCUGAGUAUGGUGGUACCUUUAGUCCCAGCCUUCUGGAGGUAGCAGCAGAGGCAGACACAUCUCUUUGAAUUAAAGGCCACGCAGGGCUACAUAAUGAGAUUCUGUCUCCC